rnacentral:tRNA from 3 species
GCGGAUAUGGUCGAAUGGUACAAUUUCUCUUUGCCAAGGAGAAGAUGCGGGUUCGAUUCCCGCUAUCCGCC